rnacentral:lncRNA from 1 species
CCCAUGAUUGAAAACUAAUAUGUAGAGAUGGUGCAUGACAUGGUUUCUCCCUCUCUCUUGCUGUAAUAAAUUGGAUAAAAUUUAUUUUAAGGUGGCUAAUCUAAAUAUAGGAGGAUAUGGUUGCAAACCUUGGGAUGUUUUCCAGUUUUUUGUUUGGAAAUAAUUGAUCUGCUGUUAAUUUGAAGAUGACAAGGAGAUAAGGAGGAAAAUUAAAAGGCUUCUUUGGUGGAUGGGUAGGAGAACUCCGGAUCUGCCAAGGAAGCAGGUGAGGGAGGAGACGUCUUGUGCUGUAAGGGUGUCUCGCAGACUGAUUUUCUUGAUUUGAUGUAUUGUCAUUGCAUAUAUCAUUAUCUCAAAGUCUGGUUAGUGUUUGAUUUUGCACAGAUUUGUUUGGGAUCUGCUUUGAAGCAAGCAUCGUUCCUUGCGCUCACAGGUAAAUUUGCAUUCCUGUCUGUUAAUAGUUGGUUCAGAACAUUUGGAGCACAGUGACAAAUUUCAGUUUUAAGGAUUUAUGAUACCCCAUUUCCACUGGUUUUCCCCCAAUAUGUCAAUGUGUGAUGUGUCUAAACCCCAUUAUUUCCCUUUGUUAUAGUCAUUAUUCAGCAUGGAGCAGAACCGCUGCACACUUAUCAAUGUAUCAAUCAUAUAAAACUUGAUAUAUUGCAGAGUUGUGCUUCUAUCAUUUCCUAAGAUAUACUGAAAUUAAAAGUUCAGCUUCUAUUUGUUGAGCUGGUUUCUUUUCACAGCCGACAGCUGAAGCUAAAUAAAAUGUCCUUAAUAUGCUUUAAUUCCUAUAAUCAGCGCUACAGAUUUCUUCUAACACUGUAAUGCUAGGCUGGAGUUUGAGGUUUUCGCUACUGCUCUAAUCUUCGAUGCUAUCUCAAACUACUAAAAUUUUAAAAUUAUGUUUCAUCUUCACCAAGAUUAAAUGUGAGAACAGAGGCCAUGUAUGACGUACAUUGUAGUUUGAGUUUUCAUCAAUGCUGUUGAUAUUUUUAUCUAUUUGUAGCGUCAUAUAAAUGAGUUUUAACAUGGUCAUUUUACAGAAUGAGCAAACAAUGGUUGGUCGGUACUAGUAGAAGCUUCACUUGCGAAUGUGUGCCUUUCUGCCUUAAGAAUUCUUUUUCAUUGUCGAGGAACACUUUUUUUAUGGGCCAGUUGCAUUGACUUUAUCCAUGGCUACAGUCACAAGACAAUUAAGCGCUCAUAGGAGAAAACAGACUAUGAAUAUAUGUAAAUUUACUCUUUCACAUGGUAUGGGCUUUAUAGUUAUCACCUUAUGACACAAUGUGACUGUUCUCCGUGUGAGCCUAUGGUUCAAAGUCAAUGCAAAAUAUCUGCUACCAUACUUUGAUUCGGAACGUGAGUUUCUACCAUCCACCGGGUACAUCUAUAAGUUCUUUUUCCUCUUUCUUUUUUUGUGAUUUGGGCACAACACUGCUUGAAUGUCUAAUCAGAUUGAAAAUUAUAUUUGAUUGUUCAGCUGUGAGCAAACUUUGUGUGCUAUCUAACACUAGAAUGUUACAUCUAAUUAUGCUUAUGGCUAACUGGUGGUUUUAUAUACUAUCAUGCCAUCUCCUUUUUGCGAUCACACUUACAAAUCUAUGUUUGCAGAAUGGGAAGUUGCAGAAAGAGAGAAAAGGUGGGCCACUCAGAUGUGGCUCAUUGACGAUGUAGGAUUGAAUAUGGAUAAGGGCAGGAUGCCGCUUUCAUCAACAUGAAACAUGACCACACCACUUGGAGUUGGAGAUGACAUACUCACAUGAGCCUUGGGAAGCUUUUGUAGUGGUGCUUGUUUGCUUUGGAUAGUAUAUGCUUGAUAAUUUCCCCGUGUUGUUCGCAUGUGUAAGCGGGUGAAUGGAUUAUCUUGUAAUGAACUUCUAGUUUCUUGAAGCAGCAACAACCAUGUCCUCCUUUGUUGAAUUUGCUUGAGAAUGCAUAGUUUGGUCAGUUCGCUAUUUUUAAAACUC